UACGGAGGGGGUUAGCGUUGUUCGGAAUUACUGGGCGUAAAGCGCGCGUAGGCGGAUUAGUCAGUUAGAGGUGAAAUCCCGGGGCUCAACCCGGAACUGCAUUUAAAACUGUAUAACUAGAGUAUAGGAGAGGAGAACGGAAUACCCAGUGUAGAGGUGGAAUUCGUAGAUAUUGGGUGGAACACCAGAAGCGAAGGCGGUUCUCUGGCCUAUUACUGACGCUCAGGGUCGAAAGCGUGGGGAGCAAACAGG
rnacentral:rRNA from 1 species